UUUGUCCAAGUUUUCUACUUAACUUCUUUUGGUUAUGCUUUCGAAGUCACCUUUUGCAGUCAAAGUGCAGAGCUGUGGCAUGACAGCAGAGGGAGAUAGUGCUCAAAAGAGGAAGAAAGGAUUAGGCUGCCUGCACAGCGCAGCCACCACCAAUAAUCACCCAGCGAUUAGCGUUCAGACCAGUAGCAGCCCUCCAUUGGAAAGAAAUAAAAAUGACAGUUAAAUUAAUUUGCUCUAUUGCGGAUGAACACUGGUGUAAAUAAUUGGCAGCACAUUGCCUCUGCACAUCUCCAUUGGCCAACAGCAGCAGUGGCCUCCAGAAGUGGGCCCUGGUAUCUUUGCCGGUUGUCCUGGCAGUAAGCCAGUUCCCUUGUUGGUAAAUCCUCUCAGGUAGUGACCUUGCUGGGUUACAGCAGCAUGCUGUACUGACUUUAUUAAGGUGUGCCGUUUAUUGAGAGUGUGUUUAGUGCAUGUGUUGGGUCUCUAAUUAAAAUGCGAAAAUAUGGUUCCAGGAUAAAGUUUAACAGAUUAUUAUCUUUCCCACACAGGAGGAAGAGAGUGCUAGGACAUAUCUGUUUAAAGUGACUGUGCAAAUGACAUUUUGAUGUUUCGUAUUUAUAGUAUUCUCCACCAGUAACUUGCAUAUUAAGAGCUGGAUUAUACCAGCACUGCCCCAGGUAGAGAUCAGAGAAUGAAUCUGAGUCACGAUCACUCUCCCCUGACCCUUUUGUCUGUACCCUUUGCCCGUACCCUUUUGUGUUUGCCCUGGCUGGGGAGUCAUUUUGACCAAGAUAGCAGUAAAGCCACCUUCUUCUAUACUGACCUAUGUAUCCCUGGCCAUGCAGAUUUUAGCCCUAGUUUUCAAGUAAACCAGAACAGGGUCGAUAAUAUCUGAUCUGAAACUCAAGCUCUAGUUUUAACUCACCUGUCCCAAUAUGAAUUGCACUUGUUCAAUGACAUGAGAAGACCACCCCUUCCUCCCUCUAACUGCAGCAUCCGACUGUGUUGGGAGUUAUAACCUCUUGGCUUUGUCAGUGGAGCUAAUAUGAAUCUCCCUGCAGAAUUUAGUUUGUUUUGCAUUUUACCUUUUAAAUGUUCUUAUGGAGACUUUUGGGAAAAUAAAUAAAUAAAUCAAAGAGCUCCUGCAAGCUCCAAGGGUAAUUACAGAUGACCUGUCACUGACUGGUUGGUCAGAUGCAGCUGCAGCAGGGUUCUUGCUGGUGCCAAAUUUUCAUCUGUUUCUGAAACUGUCUUUGUUGGUGGCAGGUCUAAUGAUUUUUAACUGGUGGACGUCCCUACCAAGGGCCACUAAGCAGAAGCCUUGCGCCGUGGUGCUGGGUUGGUGCCAGCAUGUGUGCUGCUGCAUGGGCUUGGUGUGAGAGGGAAACAGGACUCAGAAAGGCUUCCUGAGGGUUAUGAAGUCCUGGUUGGGAGUGGACACUGCUGUCUCCAAGGUUCUCGGUGAACUUAAAUGCUUCCACAAGUACAGCUGCUGUCAGUCAGGAGAGCUGGAUAAAGAGCAAAAGGAGAAAAGGGAAGAGCAAAUGGAUGUUUAUGGCUGCUUAGGAUAUGCUUAUGCACAGGAUAUCUGAACUGGAUAUUUUAUACCUUACUGGAAGAACUUUCACAAACGCUGCAGUGUCUUCAGUAUAGGUAUACAAAGAUAGCUGAUACAGCUGGAAACUGAAGGACUAAUGCACCAGGAUAUGAAAUGAGAGCAAUUGAAUGCUGGAGGUCUGCCUUUUGGAGAAUGAAGGAAGACAAGCCAUCUGGGACAUCCAUUCAGGAGGCAUGUUCACAAAGUUUAAACCUGUGUCACUUCCAGUUGCAAUCUUCAGAUCUGUAUUUGAGGAAAGCAUGCCUCUGUUUUUCAUAUUUUGCUUCGGCGGACUAGUGCUUAGCUCACAAGAUUUCAGGCUUGAUGUGAUGAAUUGCACCUGUCCAAAUGGCGAAGCAAGAACAACUAAAACAAGAGUUGGCCUAAUGCCUUAGAAAGUUAGCAGAUCAGCAUUUAUCUCUCAUUUAUCUCAUAAAAGGUUACCUUGCACAGCUCUGCAUUUUUGCCUUGCUAUAUAGUCACUUUCCACAUAUGUGUGUGUCUGUAAGCAGAGAUACAGGCUGGUUUUUAUGUUUUAAAUUGUUUUUUGGUCUUCAACUAUCCUCUUUUCUGUGUGUCUGCACAUAUAAGCAAAAUGUAAACUGAAUAGCUCAGGAUAAGAUCCAUGCUUCCUUAGCCACACUUACCUUACAGAUCUGUGGUAUAAAAUGAAUAAACUGCCUCCCAGGGGUCUGAGAGUAAAUAUGUUUAGAAAAAAAAAUCCAGAAAAUAAACCAGUCUGAAUACAAAAUGCAUCCCCCUGAGUUACUUAGGUUUUGAUUCAUUAGUCAUGUUACCAGUUUUUUAGUCUUAGAGUUUUAUAGAUAGCUAUUCCUAUAAAUAUGCAUAAAAAAAAAAGUCAUAGUUGGGCUAGGGUACUUUUCAUCAUUACUUUCAUAGUACUAUGCAUAUGAGGUUUGUGUUGUUAUUUCAGUUUUUCCAGCUGGAGAACCUAAGGCACAGAAAGGAUCAAAAUUUGUCCCUGAAGAGGAAACUACUGAGUGAUCCAGAAACCAAAUGCAAGCCCAUCUGUGGUCCGUGAGGUCUCUCAUAUGUCUAUUUGUGCAUAAUCAUGUUAGAAAAGUGUCACUAGGUGGUAGUUGACAAAAUCUGUUAGUAUUCCUCAAGUUUGUAGUAAGAGUAAAUGAGAAGCCUCCAGUGUAAUUGGUUUAUCUAUAACAAUUUUCAUAAAGUUCUUCAU